AUCACUAGGUGACCUUGUUAAAAUGAAGAUUCUGAUUCAGCAGGUCUGUGCGUGGCCUGAGACUCUGCAUUUCUAACAAGCUCCUAGGUGAUGAUGA
rnacentral:pre_miRNA from 1 species